AGUGGCGGACGGGUGAGUAACGCGUGGGCAACCUGCCCCGUGCCGGGGGAUACCGCCUGGAAACAGGCGCUAAUACCGCAUAAGCGCAUACAGCCGCAUGGCAGUAUGCGGAAAGCUCCGGCGGCACGGGAUGGGCCCGCGCCCGAUUAGCCAGUUGGCGGGGUAACGGCCCACCAAAGCGACGAUCGGUAGCCGGCCUGAGAGGGCGGACGGCCACAUUGGGACUGAGACACGGCCCAAACUCCUACGGGAGGCAGCAG
rnacentral:rRNA from 1 species